UAUGUAGCUAUCAUGAAUGGGCGCUGUGC
rnacentral:piRNA from 1 species